rnacentral:rRNA from 1 species
CCUACGGGUGGCUGCAGUGGGGAAUAUUGCACAAUGGGCGCAAGCCUGAUGCAGCAACGCCGCGUGAGGGAUGACGGCCUUCGGGUUGUAAACCUCUUUUAGUAGGGAAGAAGCCGCAAGGUGACGGUACCUGCAGAAAAAGCACCGGCUAACUACGUGCCAGCAGCCGCGGUAAUACGUAGGGUGCAAGCGUUGUCCGGAAUUAUUGGGCGUAAAGAGCUCGUAGGCGGCUUGUCGCGUCUGCUGUGAAAACCCGGGGCUCAACCCCGGGCCUGCAGUGGGUACGGGCAGGCUAGAGUGCGGUAGGGGAGAUUGGAAUUCCUGGUGUAGCGGUGGAAUGCGCAGAUAUCAGGAGGAACACCGAUGGCGAAGGCAGAUCUCUGGGCCGUAACUGACGCUGAGGAGCGAAAGCAUGGGGAGCGAACAGGAUUAGAUACCCCGGUAGUC